rnacentral:rRNA from 1 species
CGAACGGGUGAGUAAUGCGUGACCAACCUGCCCCAUGCUCCAGAAUAGCUCUUGGAAACGGGUGGUAAUGCUGGAUGCUCCAACUUGACGCAUGUCUUGUUGGGAAAGUGUUUAGUGGCAUGGGAUGGGGUCGCGUCCUAUCAGCUUGUAGGCGGGGUAAUGGCCCACCUAGGCUUCGACGGGUAGCCGGCCUGAGAGGGCGGACGGCCACAUUGGGACUGAGAUACGGCCCAGACUCCUACGGGAGGCAGCAGGU